GACGAACGCUGGCGGCGUGCUUAACACAUGCAAGUCGGACGGAAAGGCCCUGCUUUUGUGGGGUGCUCGAGUGGCGAACGGGUGAGUAACACGUGAGUAACCUGCCCUUGACUUUGGGAUAACUUCAGGAAACUGGGGCUAAUACCGGAUAGGAGCUCCUGCUGCACGGUGGGGGUUGGAAAGUUUCGGCGGUUGGGGAUGGACUCGCGGCUUAUCAGCUUGUUGGUGGGGUAGUGGCUUACCAAGGCUUUGACGGGUAGCCGGCCUGAGAGGGUGACCGGCCACAUUGGGACUGAGAUACGGCCCAGACUCCUACGGGAGGCAGCAGUGGGGAAUAUUGCACAAUGGGCGGAAGCCUGAUGCAGCAACGCCGCGUGCGGGAUGACGGCCUUCGGGUUGUAAACCGCUUUCGCCUGUGACGAAGCGUGAGUGACGGUAAUGGGUAAAGAAGCACCGGCUAACUACGUG
rnacentral:rRNA from 1 species